rnacentral:lncRNA from 1 species
AUGAACAGAGCAGAUUCACCCAAACCACCAGUCGCCCCCAAGCCGAAGGCUGCCAGUUCCCUCACGCCACAGACACCACCCAAAUUCUGCCCGGCAUCAUUCCGGCCUGAAAGCCUUCACAGCCCCAACUCCUCCAUGUCCAGGGGGCCGAAACCCCCCAUCGCCCCAAAGCCCCGGCUGGCCAACCCCAGCGAGUGGAGGGCCAGCGUCUACGUGAUCAACAGCUUGAACAAAUGCAGCAACGGGAAGCUGCCCUGCGUAGACAGGGGCCUCUACGAAGAGCACCGGUCCACCCCGGAAUGCUCCGAGUCCGAGGCCGACGAGGAUUACAUCGUGGCCCCCAGGGCCCCGCCGGGGGAGGUCCGAGCCAGGGAUGCGGGCUGCGAGGAGAACGCAGUCACGCGGCCUCCGGAGGCCGGUGAGGAGGAGGAGGAGGGCCAGGAUGGGGGCGAGGGGUGUGGGCCAGCAGGGCCCCCGGCUGCAGAGGCCUGGGCGGUGCUGAGCGGACAGGCUGACCAAGACGUCGCCCUCGCCCCCGAGGACGCGGAGGGGGCGGACUGUGCCGGGGCCGCGGGGACCGAGGACCAGACGCUGGCGAGUGAGGAGGAGGAAGAGAGGCUGGCGGAAGAACACAGCGCCUGCAGCCUGGAGGACGGGGGGCCUGGGGACAGAGGGUCAGAGUCUCCGAGUGAUAGCAUCCCAGCCCACCUCGAGGUCAUCGAGGAUACCGAGGUUGGCGGCGAGGAGGAGCCCGGGGCCCCUGGGACCCCCCAGGAGGCAGAGGAGGAGGACGAAGAACAGGGCCGCAGUGUGGACGAGAGGGGCGAGGGGGACGAUGCCGGCGAGGAGCCCCCAGAGGAUGAGGGGUCGGCCACGGGUGUCCCCGAGGCCGAAGUGGCCAGAGAUGACCCUGACGUCUCCCGGGAAGUGUGUGACGAUGCCGUGGGUGAUGGCAGCGAGCACGGUGGGCAGGAUGAGCCGGCUGACCCGGCGGAAGCGGAGGUGGGGCAGGACCCCGGGGAGGGUGAGGACCCCGUGCAGGAUGAAGCAGCCGAGGAGAGCUGCCACAUCAUCCCGUUCGAGAGCGACAGCGUGGACGACCUCGUGCCUCCGCUCUCGGCCAGCCCCUACGAGUUCUUCCCCUCCGAGAGCACCUCCUUCUGUAGUGAGAGCUACCCUCCUUAUUCUGAGUCCGCAGGAGAGUCAGCACAGGAGCCGGGGCCAGGAGAACACACGGAGCGGGACCCCGAGGCCGGGCCGGGGCGUGAGCGGCGGGGCUCCGAGCAGGGUGGCGCUGAGGAGGAGGGCCCCCCUGUGCCUGACGUCCUGGUCCUGCCUGAGGAUGAGGAUGCCAACCCCUAUGAGAUGGGAGUUGGUCCGCCCUGCGGGGCGGAUCCCGGGGAGGCGGAGACGCCCAGAGCGCAGGUCGCCCCGCAGGAGUUGAGCCCUGAUGCGGAGGGCGGCCUGGUCCCCAUCGACAGGAAUUACGUCAUGGCGAGGGCCAGGCCCCACUCCGGGAAGCUGGCUGGCUACGUCCCAGAAACGGUCCCGGAAGAAAUGGGGCCGGAAGCUGGCUUAGCGGCCGCUGGCAUUGGGGCGGCCACCACGGAGGCGAGGAAGACAGUCCUGUCACUGGAGGGGAAGCCGCUGGACGUCAGCAGGGCCCUGCCGGCAAAGCCCAGAGCCUUCACGCUGUACCCGCGAUCAUUCUCCGUGGAGGGCCGGGAGAUCCCCGUGUCCCUGUACCGGGAGCCUGAGGCCUGCAGCCUCGACGGCCACAGCAUUAAGAGGAAGGAAGACAACCUGUCCCUGCCCUGCGUCAUCGGCUCCUCCGGCAGCUUCUCCCAGAGGAGCCACCUGCCGUCCAGCGGCACCUCCACCCCAUCGUCCAUGGUAGACAUCCCGCCCCCGUUCGACCUGGCCUGCAUCACCAAGAAGCCCAUCACCAAGAGCUCCCCCUCACUCCUGGUGGAGAGUGAGCCCCCGGACAAGCACUCCAAGAAGAAGAAGUCGUCCUUCAAGCGGUUCCUGGCACUGACGUUCAAGAAGAAGACGGAGAGCAAGGUGCACGUGGACGUCAACGUGUCCUCGUCCAGGUCGUCCUCGGAGUCCAGCUACCACGGGCCGGCCCGGCUCCUGGAGUUGGACCGCAGGAGCCUCAGCAACUCGCCGCAGCUCCGGGCGCGGACGGGCAAGCUCCGGGCUUGCGACUCGCCCUCCUCGCUCAUCUUCUGCCGGGAGGGCAAGAGGAAGGGGGUCCCCUUCAGCAGGACGGUGUCCCGGGUGGAGUCCUUCGAGGACCGCUCCCGUCCCCCCUUCCUGCCGCUGCCCCUCACCAAGCCACGCUCCAUCUCGUUCCCCAACGCCGACACCUCGGACUACGAGAACAUCCCGGCCAUGAACUCGGACUACGAGAACAUCCAGAUCCCGCCCCGGAGGCCCGCGCGGGCCGGGACGUUUACCAAGCUGUUUGAAGACCAGAGCCGGGCCCUGUCCACGGCCAACGAGAAUGACGGCUACGUGGACAUGAGCAGCUUCAACGCUUUCGAGAGCAAGCCGCAGAGCGCGGACCCGGAGGCAGAAAGCGCCUACACUGAGCCCUACAAGGUCUGUCCCAUCUCGGCUGUGGCCCCCAAGGAGGACCUCACGUCAGAUGAAGAGCGCGGAAGCUCGGAAGAGGAGGAGGACAGCGCUGCGAGAGACCCCAGCCUCCCCCACAAGGUGGAAGGACAGUCCAGAGCCCACGUCAUCGCGCAGGAGCUGCUGUCUUCAGAGAAAGCAUACGUGGAGAUGCUCCAGCACUUGUAUCUGGAUUUCCACGGAGCGGUCGUGAGGGUCUUGGAUGAGAUGGACUAUGAGGGCAAGGACCUGGUGGCGCGGGAGGAGCUGAGACGUGGCCUGAGUGAGCUCCCGGCCAUCCACGACCUUCACCAGGAGAUCCUGGAGGAGCUGGAGGAGAGGCUGGCACACUGGGAAGGCCGACAGAAGGUGGCUGACGUCUUCCUGGCCCGGGAGCAGGAGUUUGAGCACCAUGCCACUCAUAUCCUGCAGUUCGACAGGUACCUGAGUCUGCUCGGUGAGAACUGCCUCCACGCCCCGCGGCUGGCAGCGGCCGUCCGAGAAUUUGAGCAGAGUCAGCAGGGAGGCGGCCAGAACGUGAAGCAUCUGCUGCUGCGUGUGGUGCGGCGCCUGUUCCAGUACGAAGCGCUCCUCACAGACUAUUUAAAUAACCUUUGCCCGGACUCAGCGGAGUACGACGACACGCAGGGUGCGCUGACCCUCAUCUCCAAGGUCACAGACCGUGCCAGUGACAGCAUGGAGCAAGGCGAAAACCUCCAGAAGCUGGUCCACAUCGAGCACAGCGUUCGGGGCCAAGGGGAUCUCCUGCAGCCGGGAAGGGAGUUUCUGAAGGAAGGGACGCUGAUGAAAGUAACAGGGAAGAACACACGCCCCCGGCACCUGUUUCUGAUGAGCGAUGUGCUGCUGUACACGUACCCCCAGAAGGACGGGAAGUACCGGCUGAAGAGCACGUUGGCGGUGGCCAGCAUGAAGGUCAGCCGCCCUGUGAUGGAGAAAGUGCCCUAUGCCCUGAAGAUCGAGACUCCGGAGUCCUGCCUGACUCUGUCUGCCAGCUCCUGCGCGGAGAGGGACGAGUGGCACAGCUGCGUGAGCCGGGCCCUCCCCGAGGACUACAAGGCCCAGGCGCUGGCCGCCUUCCAGCACAGCGUGGAGGAAGGGGCGCGCCGGCCCAGCUGGUCUCCUGACCCCGCUGCCCGCCUGACUCCGUUGCUCCAGAUACGGGAGAGGCUGGGGGUCAGCCUGGGGGAGAGGCCCCCGACCCUCGUUCCCGUCUCGCACGUCAUGAUGUGCAUGAACUGCGGCUGCGAUUUCUCCCUCACCCUGAGGCGCCACCACUGCCACGCCUGCGGCAAGAUUGUCUGCCGGAACUGCUCUCGGAACAAGUACCCUCUAAAGUACCUCAAAGACCGCAUGGCCAAGGUGUGUGACGGCUGCUACGGGGAGCUGAAGAAGAGGGGCGGGGACGCCCCAGGCCUGAUGAGAGAGCGGCCCCUGAGCAUGAGCUUCCCCCUCUCCUCCGCCCGCUUCUCGAGCAGCGCCUUCUCGUCCGUCUUCCACAGCAUCAACCCCUCGGCCUUCAGGAAGCAGAGGAAAGUCCCGUCAGCCCUGACCGAGGUGGCCGCCUCCGGAGAGGGCUCCGCCAUCAGCGGCUACCUCAGCCGGGGUAAGAAGGGCAAGCGGCACUGGAAGAAGCUCUGGUUCGUCAUCAAAGGCAAAGUGCUGUACACCUACGCGGCCCGUGAGGACACAGUGGCCUUGGAGAGUAUGCCCCUGCUUGGCUUCACCGUUGCGCCAGGCAAGGAGGAGGGCAGCAGCGAAGCCAGCCCUACGUUUCAUCUUUACCACAAGAAAACCCUAUUUUAUAGCUUCAAAGCUGAGGAUAGCAGUUCGGCUCAGAGGUGGAUCGAGGCCAUGGAAGAUGCGAGUGUGUUAUAGCAGUCACCCAGCAUGUGGACUCAGAGGACACUCCUAGGUUGAUGUGUGGACCCUUCCAGAAGCCAGCCCGUGUCUCCACCCGUCCGGACACGCAGCUGGAUUCAGCACGGGGCCUGGCCUUCUUGGCUGUCACCCCCUCUCUCACACCUCCACAAGUGGACCCCUUAAGGGAUAUUUAUGGACCUUUUCUGUCUUCGUGUUCUCCACCCUCCCCACUCCAGCGUAAACUAUUUCCCUUUCCAGUAGUGCGUUAAAAUUUAGUAACAUGAAGACGUGGAAACCAGUAGAGAAGUGCCCUGUAGAACUUCAGGCUUCUUAGUAGAAACAAGCUGUUGCAGUUUUUUUUUUACUCCUGGUAAACAUGAUCGCCUUUUAUGUCAUUGAUGUCGGUGCCUCAGGUGAAAUGACAAACAACCAGUAAAUAACAGCUACUCUCAUCAAAAAGCACUUUAUUGUUUUACUGAGCAGCAACCUCCGGUUUGAUUUUUUUUUUUCCCCCCAAGGGACUUCUGUAAGUCA